AGAGUUUGUUUCUGGCUCAGGACGAACGCUGGCGGCGUGCCUAAUACAUGCAAGUCGAGCGAGCUUGCCUAGAUGAUUUUAGUGCUUGCACUAAAUGAAACUAGAUACAAGCGAGCGGCGGACGGGUGAGUAACACGUGGGUAACCUGCCCAAGAGACUGGGAUAACACCUGGAAACAGAUGCUAAUACCGGAUAACAACACUAGACGCAUGUCUAGAGUUUGAAAGAUGGUUCUGCUAUCACUCUUGGAUGGACCUGCGGUGCAUUAGCUAGUUGGUAAGGUAACGGCUUACCAAGGCAAUGAUGCAUAGCCGAGUUGAGAGACUGAUCGGCCACAUUGGGACUGAGACACGGCCCAAACUCCUACGGGAGGCAGCAGUAGGGAAUCUUCCACAAUGGACGAAAGUCUGAUGGAGCAACGCCGCGUGAGUGAAGAAGGGUUUCGGCUCGUAAAGCUCUGUUGGUAGUGAAGAAAGAUAGAGGUAGUAACUGGCCUUUAUUUGACGGUAAUUACUUAGAAAGUCACGGCUAACUACGUGCCAGCAGCCGCGGUAAUACGUAGGUGGCAAGCGUUGUCCGGAUUUAUUGGGCGUAAAGCGAGUGCAGGCGGUUCAAUAAGUCUGAUGUGAAAGCCUUCGGCUCAACCGGAGAAUUGCAUCAGAAACUGUUGAACUUGAGUGCAGAAGAGGAGAGUGGAACUCCAUGUGUAGCGGUGGAAUGCGUAGAUAUAUGGAAGAACACCAGUGGCGAAGGCGGCUCUCUGGUCUGCAACUGACGCUGAGGCUCGAAAGCAUGGGUAGCGAACAAGAUUAGAUACCCUGGUAGUCCAUGCCGUAAACGAUGAGUGAUAAGUGUUGAGAGGUUUCCGCCUCUCAGUGCUGCAGCUAACGCAUUAAGCACUCCGCCUGGGGAGUACGACUGCAAGGUUGAAACUCAAAAGGAAUUGACGGGGGCCCGCACAAGCGGUGGAGCAUGUGGGUUUAAUUCGAAGCAACGCGAAGAACCUUACCAGGUCUUGACAUCCAGUGCAAACGUAAGAGAUUAGGUGUUCCCUUCGGGGACGCUGAGACAGGUGGUGCAUGGCUGUCGUCAGCUCGUGUCGUGAGAUGUUGGGUUAAGUCCCGCAACGAGCGCAACCCUUGUCAUUAGUUGCCAUCAUUAAGUUGGGCACUCUAAUGAGACUGCCGGUGACAAACCGGAGGAGGGUGGGGAUGACGUCAAGUCAUCAUGCCCCUUAUGACCUGGGCUACACACGUGCUACAAUGGACGGUACAACGAGAAGCGAACCUGCGAAGGCAAGCGGAUCUCUUAAAGCCGUUCUCAGUUCGGACUGUAGGCUGCAACUCGCCUACACGAAGCUGGAAUCGCUAGUAAUCGCGGAUCAGCACGCCGCGGUGAAUAAAAGGCCGGGCCUUGCACACACCGCCCGUCA
rnacentral:rRNA from 1 species